AGUCAGCUAUAGGGUUUGGGUAAGUUGGUAGGUACGCCCAUAUGAAAUUAAUUUUGACCUAUUAUUUUAUAUCAAGUGAAGUCUUUAUUUAAUGACACUACCAUAUCUUAUUCACAAAAACAAAAGAAAAAAAAAAGAACAGCUUUAUUACAUUAUUUUUUUAAAAUUAAAAGUUAGCUAAUAAUUCUUUAUAUGCUGUGCUUUUCAAAGCCAACAUGUCCUUGCCCCUUCAUUUUCCAUCUUUGUCUUUCUUCUGAAUCUCGUAUCUUUUGCAAAACUUCACCGAUUUCCAGCCGCCGGAAAAACAUGUCGGCUUCCCGUAACCAAGGAGGUUGUGGAUGUUGUGGCGGCAUCUUUAGUUUGGGGAUGUCGGCACUUUUCAUGUGGCUAUGGAUACAUACUUCAAACCCCAAAUGUUCCAUUCAAACUCUGUCCUUGCCUUCCCUUCGCAGCGCCUCGAACCUCACAGCUGGUCCUACCUUAAGCCUCACGCUAAGGGUUUUACCAGGGUUACAGAAAGAAGGCUACAAAGCCUGGUCAAGGCACCGCUAACACCACGGUGGCUUUACGAGCGGUGUCGGAGAACGGAACAGGAGUUUUCCGGGUUGAUAUGGCGACGGCGGUGAAGUUUAAGACCUUGUAUGGUUAUUCGAAGAGGCAUAAGAUUAGGAUUGGAGCAGAUGUGGUGGUCAACGCUAGUGGUGUUAAGGUCGAUCGUAAAGGGAUCAGGCUUAGAUCUAUGGCACCCAAGAUGGGAAAUUCUUGUGUGGUGCUGCUUGGAGCUUUGUUCAAUUUCUUGCUCUUCGCUUUGCUUGAUUUUUGGUGAGUUGUUUUUCAUGGUUUUAGCAUAUUUUUAGAUGCUUUGUUGUAGCUGAGAAAAAGAGAGAGAAAAUGGUGAUGUUAACAGCUUUAACUUAAUUGAAUUAUUUGUAUCAAA